CAGUCGCCGCGGUAAUACGUAGGGUGCAAGCGUUAAUCGGAAUUACUGGGCGCAAGGCGUGCGCAGGCGGUUCUAUAAGACAGAUGUGAAAUCCCCGGGCUCAACCUGGGAACUGCAUUUGUGACUGUAGAGCUGGAGUGCGGCAGAGGGGGAUGGAAUUCCGCGUGUAGCAGUGAAAUGCGUAGAUAUGCGGAGGAACACCGAUGGCGAAGGCAAUCCCCUGGGCCUGCACUGACGCUCAUGCACGAAAGCGUGGGGAGCAAACAGGAUUAGAUACCCCCGUAGUCCCUGUCUCUUAUAC
rnacentral:rRNA from 1 species